GACGAACGCUGGCGGCGUGCCUAAUACAUGCAAGUAGAACGCUGAAGAGAGGAGCUUGCUCUUCUUGGAUGAGUUGCGAACGGGUGAGUAACGCGUAGGUAACCUGCCUUGUAGCGGGGGAUAACUAUUGGAAACGAUAGCUAAUACCGCAUAACAAUGGAUGACACAUGUCAUUUAUUUGAAAGGGGCAAUUGCUCCACUACAAGAUGGACCUGCGUUGUAUUAGCUAGUAGGUGAGGUAAUGGCUCACCUAGGCGACGAUACAUAGCCGACCUGAGAGGGUGAUCGGCCACACUGGGACUGAGACACGGCCCAGACUCCUACGGGAGGCAGUAGUAGGGAAUCUUCGGCAAUGGGGGCAACCCUGACCGAGCAACGCCGCGUGAGUGAAGAAGGUUUUCGGAUCGUAAAGCUCUGUUGUAAGUCAAGAACGGGUGUGAGAGUGGAAAGUUCACACUGUGACGGUAGCUUACCAGAAAGGGACGGCUAACUACGUG
rnacentral:rRNA from 1 species